AUUGAACGCUGGCGGCAGGCCUAACACAUGCAAGUCGAGCGGAGCGGCGGACGGGUGAGUAAUGCCUAGGAAUCUGCCUGGUAGUGGGGGAUAACGUCCGGAAACGGGCGCUAAUACCGCAUCCUAUCAGCUGAGCCUAGGUCGGAUUCGCCGGUUGGUGGGGUAAAGGCCUACCAAGGCGACGACCCGUAACUGGUCUGAGAGGAUGAGCAGUAACACUGGAAGUGCGACACGGUCCAGACUCCUACGGGAGGCAGAAGUGGGGAAUUGUGGACAAUGGGCGCAAUCCUGAUCCAGCCAUACCGCGUGGGUGAGGAAGGCCUUCGGGUUGUAAAGCCCUUUUGUUGGGAAAGCGGUACCCAAAGAGUAAGCACCGGCUAACUUCGUGCCAGCAGCCGCGGUAAUAC
rnacentral:rRNA from 1 species